UCCUACGGGAGGCAGCAGUGGGGAAUUUUGGACAAUGGGCGAAAGCCUGAUCCAGCAAUGCCGCGUGUGUGAAGAAGGCCUUCGGGUUGUAAAGCACUUUUGUCCGGAAAGAAAUCCUUGACCCUAAUACGGUCGGGGGAUGACGGUACCGGAAGAAUAAGCACCGGCUAACUACGUGCCAGCAGCCGCGGUAAUACGUAGGGUGCGAGCGUUAAUCGGAAUUACUGGGCGUAAAGCGUGCGCAGGCGGUUUGCUAAGACCGAUGUGAAAUCCCCGGGCUCAACCUGGGAACUGCAUUGGUGACUGGCAGGCUAGAGUAUGGCAGAGGGGGGUAGAAUUCCACGUGUAGCAGUGAAAUGCGUAGAGAUGUGGAGGAAUACCGAUGGCGAAGGCAGCCCCCUGGGCCAAUACUGACGCUCAUGCACGAAAGCGUGGGGAGCAAACAGGAUUAGAUACCCCCGUAC
rnacentral:rRNA from 1 species